UACGGAGGGUGCAAGCAUUAAUCGGAUUUAUUGGGCGUAAAGGGCGCGUAGGCGGAUAUGUAAGUCAGAUGUGAAAUUCCAGGGCUCAACCUUGGGACAGCAUUUGAAACUGCAUUGUCUAGAGGGUAGGCGGAGAAAACAGAAUUCCACAAGUAGCGGUGAAAUGCGUAGAUAUGUGGAAGAAUACCGGUGGCGAAGGCGGUUUUCUAGCUUAUUCCUGACGCUGAAGCGCGAAAGCAAGGGGAUCAAACAGG
rnacentral:rRNA from 1 species